rnacentral:rRNA from 1 species
GACGAACGCUGGCGGCAUGCCUAAUACAUGCAAGUCGAGCGAACAGAUGGAGUGCUUGCACUUCUGACGUUAGCGGCGAACGGGUGAGUAACACGUAAGGAAUCUACCUAUAAGCGGGGGAUAACAUUCGGAAACGGGUGCUAAUACCGCAUAAUAUCUUCUUCCGCAUGGAAGAAGAUUGAAAGACGGCUCUGCUGUCACUUAUAGAUGACCUUGCGGUGCAUUAGUUAGUUGGUGGGGUAACGGCCUACCAAGACGAUGAUGCAGAGCCGACCUGAGAGGGUGAGCGGCGACAUUGGGACGGAGACACGGCCCAAACUCCUACGGGAGGCAGCAGUAGGGAAUCUUCCGCGAUGGGCGAAAGCCUGACGGAGCAAUGCCGCGUGAGUGAAGAAGGCCUUCGGGUCGUAAAUCUCUGUUAUAAGAGAAGAACGAAUUGUAGAGUAACUGCUACAGUCUUGACGGUAUCUUAUCAGAAAGCCACGGCUAACUACGUGCCAGCCGCCGCGGUAA